UUAUUAUGCUCUGCUGAUAUAACUAAAUAUAAUUUUCCUCAGCAAAAUAGAAUAAGGGGACUGUUGAUACUUAGUUGAUUCUAAACAUCUAUUCUGGUAAUUUUGUAAAAGAUUUCCAAUCUUUGAAUAUAAAAAAGAAAGGAAUAUAAAAAAGAAAGGUCGAAGCAAGACUUUUUGAUUCCCUUCUACUGCUAAUGUAAUGUAUACUCAUUGGGUCUUAAAUUACAUCGGAUAGCCGGGGGAGAAUUCAACUACUAGUUAGGUAAAGUCCUUUCUAUACUGUAAUCUACAUAUAUAGACUCGCGAGAAUCUCUGAGUGUUCAGGCAUUCAAUCACUAUUAGAUUGAGAUUGGAUAGAUUUUUUAUAGAAAAAGUAAAAAAAUUUACCCCCCGUCAAGAGUAUAAUAUACUAUCUCCCAACUCCUUCAGCUAGACAAUCGCGAAGGGGUACGCAUUAUAUCAAUAUCAAAUAGGAAAUAAAAGUAUGUAAUAGAUAACAAUUGAUCUAUUUUUACUUUGAAGGGCAAAAAAAAAAGAAAGGGCUCUCUUAUUUUAUUACUGGACGUUCCAUUCCAUUAGUAACAUUCCUUUGUAGUGUCAUUGUGUAUUUUACUUGUGUUUAGUCUUUCCACAUUAGAAAUCAUAUAGGAAUUUUUGAAAUGGCUUUAUUUUAUUGGUUCAUCAAUAGUGUUUGGUCAGAAUCCCUUUUUGACUCUGGACCAUUCAUUCUACUAUUAUUAGUGAGCAAUAAUGGAA
rnacentral:misc_RNA from 1 species